GAUGAACGCUAGCUACCCGUUUAACACAUGCAAGUCGAGGGGCAGCAUGGUCUUAGCUUGCUAAGGCCGAUGGCGACCGGCGCACGGGUGAGUAACACGUAUCCAACCUGCCGUCUACUCUUGGACAGCCUUCUGAAAGGAAGAUUAAUACAAGAUGGCAUCAUGAGUCCGCAUGUUCACAUGAUUAAAGGUAUUCCGGUAGACGAUGGGGAUGCGUUCCAUUAGAUAGUAGGCGGGGUAACGGCCCACCUAGUCUUCGAUGGAUAGGGGUUCUGAGAGGAAGGUCCCCCACAUUGGAACUGAGACACGGUCCAAACUCCUACGGGAGGCAGCAGUGAGGAAUAUUGGUCAAUGGGCGAGAGCCUGAACCAGCCAAGUAGCGUGAAGGAUGACUGCCCUAUGGGUUGUAAACUUCUUUUAUAAAGGAAUAAAGUCGGGUAUGCAUACCCGUUUGCAUGUACUUUAUGAAUAAGGAUCGGCUAACUCCGUGCCAGCAGCCGCGGUAAUACGGAGGAUCCGAGCGUUAUCCGGAUUUAUUGGGUUUAAAGGGAGCGUAGAUGGAUGUUUAAGUCAGUUGUGAAAGUUUGCGGCUCAACCGUGAAAUUGCAGUUGAUACUGGAUAUCUUGAGUGCAGUUGAGGCAGGCGGAAUUCGUGGUGUAGCGGUGAAAUGCUUAGAUAUCACGAAGAACUCCGAUUGCGAAGGCAGCCUGCUAAGCUGCAACUGACAUU
rnacentral:rRNA from 1 species